GGAUUAGAUACCCUGGUAGUCCACGCCGUAAACGAUGUGUGCUAGUUGUCGGGUCUUUAAGAUUCGGUGACGCCGCUAACGCAUUAAGCACACCGCCUGGGGAGUACGGUCGCAAGAUUAAAACUCAAAGGAAUUGACGGGGACCCGCACAAGCGGUGGAGCAUGUUCUUUAAUUCGAAGCAACGCGAAGAACCUUACCUACACUUGACAUACUCGUCGGGACUUUCAGAGAUGAUUGUCUUCGGUUCGGCCGGACGAUGUACAGGUGCUGCAUGGCUGUCGUCAGCUCGUGCCG
rnacentral:rRNA from 1 species